CAGAGUUUGCUGAGUCUGUAGGUAAACUCUUAUUGUGCAGGGGCGAAGCAUUAAGAAAAAGAAAAGCAGGUUUACACGAUCCAAAGCCACCCAGCCUGCACCUUUCACUCACUUAGCAAGAACCGGGAGGAUUUUCACACACUGAAUAAACUGCUGCAGCCUGUCCGUUCUUAAUGGGAAAGAAGUCCUGGUGAGUGUCAGAAGCCCUCUGUGCCGUCCAGAUGCUCACGUAAAGACGGCCGCCAUGAUGGGGGCGUUUCACCCAUUGGUCAAGUGCCAACAGUAUACAGGGCAGGACAGAGAUUACAUGGAUUGCCCAGCGAACAGGCUGACCAUCGACGUGCCCUCCGUGUCCCCGUGGGCACCCCCCACU